GUAAUAUAUCGGAACGUGCCCAGUCGUGGGGGAUAACGUAGCGAAAGUUACGCUAAUACCGCAUACGAUCUAAGGAUGAAAGCGGGGGAUCGCAAGACCUCGCGCGAUUGGAGCGGCCGAUAUCAGAUUAGGUAGUUGGUGGGGUAAAGGCUCACCAAGCCAACGAUCUGUAGCUGGUCUGAGAGGACGACCAGCCACACUGGAACUGAGACACGGUCCAGACUCCUACGGGAGGCAGCAGUGGGGAAUUUUGGACAAUGGACGCAAGUCUGAUCCAGCCAUUCCGCGUGCAGGAUGAAGGCCCUCGGGUUGUAAACUGCCUUUGUACGGAACGAAAAGGUCUCUCUUAAUACGAGGGGCUCAUGACGGUACCGUAAGAAUAAGCACCGGCUAACUACGUGCCAGCAGCCGCGGUAAUACGUAGGGUGCAAGCGUUAAUCGGAAUUACUGGGCGUAAAGCGUGCGCAGGCGGUUAUGUAAGACAGAGGUGAAAUCCCCGGGCUCAACCUGGGAACUGCCUUUGUGACUGCAUAGCUAGAGUACGGUAGAGGGGGAUGGAAUUCCGCGUGUAGCAGUGAAAUGCGUAGAUAUGCGGAGGAACACCGAUGGCGAAGGCAAUCCCCUGGACCUGUACUGACGCUCAUGCA
rnacentral:rRNA from 1 species